CGGGUGAGUAAUGCAUAGGAAUCUGCCCGGUAGUGGGGGAUAACCUGGGGAAACCCAGGCUAAUACCGCAUACGUCCUACGGGAGAAAGCAGGGGAUCUUCGGACCUUGCGCUAUCGGAUGAGCCUAUGUCGGAUUAGCUAGUUGGUGAGGUAAUGGCUCACCAAGGCGACGAUCCGUAGCUGGUCUGAGAGGAUGAUCAGCCACAUCGGGACUGAGACACGGCCCGAACUCCUACGGGAGGCAGCAGUGGGGAAUAUUGGACAAUGGGGGCAACCCUGAUCCAGCCAUGCCGCGUGUGUGAAGAAGGCUUUCGGGUUGUAAAGCACUUUCAGUGGGGAAGAAAGCUUUCGGGUUAAUACCCCGGAGGAAGGACAUCACCCACAGAAGAAGCACCGGC
rnacentral:rRNA from 1 species